CUGAGCCCAGGACAGGCAAGCCCCAAGCUUGCCCACUGUGGGCAGAGGGAUCCUCCUCCCAUCAUCACUGGCACCAAGCAAGCUCAUCUCAGCUAUGCCUGCAAGCUGCAUCUCUUCAGAGGCUCUGUGGAUUGGCUGGGAAAUGCAUUGAUUUCUUUCUUUCCAGGGAGCAGCCUUGCAAAGAAGAGGAAUCAAACCAGAUGGGAAGUAUUCCCUGUUUCAUCAAUCCCAUGAUGGCUUUUUAAAGCUUCUUUUCUGCUCUCUCUUGGAAGGGAGCUCUGAUUCUGUGUCUUAGUCCUCAUGGACCAGGAGGUCAAGCAGCACACUGAGCUCCACAACACCACUGACGUUAAGCGGCUGUUGGCCACUUUCUUUUCCUGGUAUUAGAGAGAGGAUUGAACUGAGCUGUGGCUGUUUCACAUAACUCUAGCUGAAAGGAUAUCUCCACAGUAAUAAAACCUUAACUGCCCCAGCCAUUAAA